AGAGUUUGAUCAUGGCUCAGAACGAACGCUGGCGGCAUGCCUAACACAUGCAAGUCGAACGCUCUUGGUUUCGGCCAAGGGAGUGGCGCACGGGUGAGUAACGCGUGGGAACCUGCCCUGGAGUGGGGGAUAACCGAGGGAAACCUCGGCUAAUACCGCAUACGUCCUGAGGGAGAAAGAUUUAUCGCUCUAGGAGGGGCCCGCGUCGGAUUAGCUUGUUGGUGGGGUAACGGCCUACCAAGGCGAUGAUCCGUAGCUGGUCUGAGAGGAUGAUCAGCCACACUGGGACUGAGACACGGCCCAGACUCCUACGGGAGGCAGCAGUGGGGAAUAUUGGACAAUGGGCGCAAGCCUGAUCCAGCAAUGCCGCGUGAGUGAUGAAGGCCUUAGGGUUGUAAAGCUCUUUCGGCGGGGACGAUGAUGACGGUACCCGCAGAAGAAGCCCCGGCUAACUUCGUGCCAGCCGCCGCGGUAAUACA
rnacentral:rRNA from 1 species